UAGGGAAUCUUCCGCAAUGGGCGAAAGCCUGACGGAGCAAUGCCGCGUGAGUGAUGAAGGUCUUCGGAUCGUAAAACUCUGUUAUUAGGGAAGAUCAAAUGUGUAAGUAACUAUGCACGUCUUGACGGUACCUAAUCAGAAAUCCACGGCUAACUAUGUGCCAGCAGCCGCGGUAAUACGUAUGGGGCAAGCGUUAUCCGGAAUUAUUGGGCGUAAAGCGUGCGUAGGCAGUUUUUUUAGUCUGAUGUAAAAGCCCACGGCUCAAUCGUAGAGGGUCAUUGGAAACUGGAAAUCUGGGGUGCAGGAGAGGAAAGUGGUAUUCCAUGUGUAGCGGUGAAAUGCGUAGAGAUAUGGAGGGACACCAGUGGCGAAAGCGACUUUCUGGUCUGUAUCUGACGCUGAUGUUCGAAAGCCUGGGGAUCAAACAGG
rnacentral:rRNA from 1 species